ensembl:lncRNA
CCUGGCUCACCGCCUUAAAGGGACAGUGUGCCGCGCGCGCCCCCUGCUUUAAGGCGUUAACCCUAGUAGUGGCUGGUUGGCAAAGACCGUGAUGCUGGGAGAGAUUGACGGCGGGAGGAGAAGGGCACGACACAGGAUGAGAUGGUGGGAUGGCGUCACCGACUCAAUGGACAUGAGCAAGCUCUGGGAGAUGGUGAAGGACAGGGAGGCCUGGCGUGCUGCAGUCCAUGGGGUCGCAAAGAAUCGGACAAGACUGAGCGACUGAACUGAACUGGUAUUGGCGAGUUCAGGUCCUUCUGCACCUUCUAAAUACUUAAGUAUGGUGAUGCCUACAGAAAGUACUUGCGCGCCCCUUGAGUGUUCACAUCUUGAGCGCGCCCUGCAGCGGCGCCCCAGGGAGGAGCCGAGCUCCCGGUCCACGGGAUUAGCGGGGCGCUGGAGGGGUCGCGUCUCUCCACAGCCGCGCAAGCCGGGGAUCGGCGGCGGCGGCCGCGUCCACAGCCCCCGGCCGCCCUAGGCGGUUCUCCGCGUGGCAUCCCCAUUAAUUUCGGGACACCCCUGUGAGGGGCCCUGGCCUUCCAGCUUGUAAGAGAGAGGAACCUUGAGCUCCGAAAGAUUCAGAACCUGGACUCUGGGAGCUGCGCCCACCGGCUACCCCGCAGGACCUGCGGCGGAGUCGGCGGGGCCUUCCCGCCCCUGGGUCAAGAGAGUUGUCUCCUGAGCCCCCAGCGCGGAGAUGCGAACUGUCGCUGCGUGCGGGCUACUCUGGGGUCUGCGGGGUGAUGGCCCAGACAGUUCUCUGACCAGGGAUCCAACCUGAGCCCCCUGCAGUAGAAGUGCAGAGUCCUUCCACUGGACUGCCAAGGACGUCCCACAGCAACGUUAUUUACAAAGAUGAAAUACCUGGAGACGACACAAACACUCAGCUCUGAGGGAAGAGGCUGAUCAGGCAUCUCGUGGUUCACUUGCUAAACUGUGUCUGACUCUUUGCGACCCCGUGGACUGCAGCACUCCGGGCCUCCCUGUCCUUCCCCAUCCCCUGGAGCUUGCUCAAACUCAUGUCCAUCGAGUCAGUGAUGCCAUCCAACCAUCUCAUCCUCUGUCGUCCCCUACUCUGCCUCAAUCUUUCCCAGCAUCAGGGUCUUUUCCAAUAAGCAGGCUCUUCACAUCAGGUGGCCAAAGUAUUGGAGCUUCAGCUUCAGCAUCAGUCCUUCCGAUGAAUAUUCAGGGUUGAUUUCCUUUAGGAUGGACUGAUUUGAUCUCCUUGCAGUCCAAGGGACUCUCAAGAGUCUUCUCCAGAGUACACUGCUUCCUGGAAUAUUCUGUAGACUGCAAAGGACUGAGGUAGCCAGGGCGUCGUGCCUGGGGGACAGCCACACACUCGCAGAAAGAGAGCGCACAGCAGACAGCACACAGCCGUGUGAGGAAAAACUGGGGAAGGGCGGGUGCCGGCUCUACAGACUCUGGCCUGCGACAGGCGCCUGGGGCGAGGGGAUGACGUAGCAUCCUUCGGUUUCCCUUUUAUGCCCCUGAGAUUCUCCCAAUUGAUGCCCUUUGCAAUUAAACAGAGUAAUAAUGGGUCUUGUUCAUUUCCACAAUAGGAGACUGAUGCAUGGUUCAGCUGCUGCUGCUGCUAAGCCACUUCAGUCGUGUCUGACUCUGUG